AGUUCCCGUUUGGUAGAAAAUUACACGAACCGUGAGCCUAGUAUGUCAGGGAAACAAAACGAAACGAGCAGUGAGAUUCGAAAUGCACGCACAGAAUUGCCUAGUAUGUUUAGGCAAUUGAAACAGAAUGUGUUCCCGUUUGGAAGUAUGCUAAUGCUCGAAAUGAGCCAGUGACAGAUAUAAACAAGUGAAUUUAAAUGAAUGAUAUGCAUGAACAUGCAAUGGUUUUAGG
rnacentral:lncRNA from 1 species